rnacentral:rRNA from 1 species
UAAGGAAUAUUGGGCAAUGGACGCAAGUCUGACCCAGCCAUGCCGCGUGAAGGAUGAAGGCCCUAUGGGUUGUAAACUUCUUUUAUACGGGAAAAAACCACCGGUCGUGUAUCGGUGCUGAUGGUACCGUAAGAAUAAGCAUCGGCUAACUCCGCGCCAGCAGCCGCGGUAAUACGGAGGAUGCAAGCGUUAUCCGGAUUCAUUGGGUUUAAAGGGUGCGCAGGCGGAUUAAUAAGUCAGUGGUGAAAUCCUACGGCUCAACUGUAGAACUGCCAUUGAUACUGUUAGUCUUGAGUAUUGUUGAGGUAGGCGGAAUGUGUCAUGUAGCGGUGAAAUGCUUAGAUAUUACACAGAACACCAAUUGCGAAGGCAGCUUACUGAGCUAUAACUGACGCUGAUGCACGAAAGCGUGGGGAGCGAACA